UUGGUAAUUUUCCAGCAGCCGCGGUAAUACGUAGGUGGCAAGCGUUGUCCGGAAUUAUUGGGCGUAAAGGGCGCGCAGGCGGCGUCGUAAGUCGGUCUUAAAAGUGCGGGGCUUAACCCCGUGAGGGGACCGAAACUGCGAUGCUAGAGUAUCGGAGAGGAAAGCGGAAUUCCUAGUGUAGCGGUGAAAUGCGUAGAUAUUAGGAGGAACACCAGUGGCGAAAGCGGCUUUCUGGACGACAACUGACGCUGAGGCGCGAAAGCCAGGGGAGCAAACGGG
rnacentral:rRNA from 1 species